UUUUACUCAUAGUCUCCCUUGUCCUACUCUUCCAUUCACAAUAUCAAACAAGUCAAAAAAUCAUCAAUUUGGUUAGGGUUUUUUAUUAAAUUUGAGUGUAUUAAAGAAUGAAUCACCUCAAGAAUGACAAUAAUUCCAUUGCAACAAUAGAUGAUUUAGCAAAUCAGGAGCUCUAAUGUAGAUUGCAUAACAGUGUACAAGGAAAGCUAUAGCAGAUUGGAAGAAUGGUGAUAGCUAAGAACGGACGGUGGCGCUGGUUUACGAUUCCAAAUCUUGGAUCUACAGACUUCACAUCUCUUUCAACGCACAUCUCCGGGUUCCUUGCCAAGCUUGAUAAGGCCAAACGUGCUUUCUGCUUUGCUAGUGGAAUGGCUUCUCUCUCCAUUGUGACACAUCUAAUUGGAACCAGUACGUGUCGAUCUUCUUGAAUCCUCUAAUUUAAUUGCUACCAGACUCUCCUUGUAAUUUUCUUAACUUGCCAAUUUCAUGUGAGGCAGUUGUUGCUAGAGAAGACAUAUAGCAGUUCAGAUUGGUUGCUAUCAUAAAUACUUCCUAAUAAAGGAAUUGUGGUGAAGUGAAUAUAUUUUCCUACCUUCAUCUGCUCUUCCUAAUUCUGUAAGUUAUAACUAUAGUUGAUGUUGAGAAAACUUGUAAUUAUGUGUAGGCAAGUGAACACAAUUGAUCUAGAUGAGGUUGUAGCUUCAAUUGGUACAUAAACUAAGGGCCUGUUUGGUGUGUCUUUU